rnacentral:misc_RNA from 1 species
GAGAGCCCGGCGCUCGGAGACGGACACGCCGGGUUCGGCGAGCGGCCUGGAGAAACGGAUCGGCGACAACACUGGCACCACGCUUCAGGCCGACUCAAC